GAAAAAUCCACCACUUCUACUGUGAAUUUCCAGCUGUUGUGAAGCUGGUAUGAGGAGACGUUGCUGUUUUUGAGACCACAGUGUUCAUCAGCAGCAUCCUACUUCUCCUCCUCCCCAUCUUGCUGGUUUCUGCAUCCUAUGCCUUCAUCCUCCACAGCCUCAUUCAGAUGCGUGCAGCUGGGAAGUCAAGAAAAGAGCCUGACAUGAACUAACUGCUCAAUAACUAUUUGUUGCAUGGGUUAAUAAAUGAAAAGGACCUGGAUUAUUUUACUGUCCCACAUGACAUUCAAGUUCAAAUUGCGUGAAAAUUAUCUGUUUCCUGAAGAUUUGAUGAAAUUCCCAUGUGAACCUAUCUGGACCUAGAGCCUUUUUGGGUGGGUAGCCCUUUGAAAUCUUUAAACACUAUUAAAACCUUAAAAGAAAUCUAUCUUCAAUUCUCAAAAUGCUCCAUUAUCCUCGUACAAGUGCAUGUAACACAUGCUUUCUCUUCUUCUUGGGGCAUCAGUCUUUCCUUCUACAUCUGACUAUCAACACCUGUCUCUAGACUGAGCUUGAAUCGUCUCACCUGAGUAGCAUUCCUUGUCUUUGUAAGGCUUAUUGACUCCUUAUGUCCCCAGUACAUCCUACUUAUAUUUCUAUAAUCACUUUUUAUACUUUAUUGGAAUUUUUCUUUACUUUCCUGCUUAUAUCAUUAGGCUGGAGAUGUUUGACGGAAACGUGGUUUAUUUGAAAGAGAAUAAGAUUUGGAGUUAGAAUAGUAUUGAAAUUUGGGCUCUUCCACUUAUUAGGGGGUCUAACAUUAAUCAAUUUCAUUCAUAAAAAUUAUUAAAAACUUGGAAAUAAUGUAAGAAGAUGACUGAAUGUCCUUUCAUUGGCAUACCAUAGCAUCAUCUAACCAGCCAACCUAAGGCUUAUUCAUUUAUCUAGAACAAUGUAUCUGUUUGACUUUAUGAUUUACUAUUUGAUUAGAACCCAAACAUUGUGCAGUUAUAUGUUAAUCUGUAGAUUUCUGUCCAGGAGAAAGAUAAAGCAGAGAUUACAGUUUUAUUGACCUUUAGGAUCUUAACCAUUUUCUAUAUAACCUAACAACCUUGAUCUAACAUUCUUUGGUUGAUGUUGUGUUGUCAAAUCUGCUUUUACUGAUAAACUAUAUAAUCCCCUGUUUCCCAAAAAGGGUUUGUGAUUCUUGGAACCACUUUGAUCAUCUCAAUGUUUUCCACAUUACUUAGUU
rnacentral:lncRNA from 1 species